AACGUACGCUGGCGGCACGCCUAACACAUGCAAGUCGAACGAAGUAGCAAUACUUAGUGGCAGACGGGUGAGUAACAUGUAGGUAUCUGCCCUUUGGCCUGGAAUAACACGAGGAAACUUGUGCUAAUACCGGAUAAGUCUUUACGGAGAAAGCUUUAUGCACCAUUGGAUGAGCCUGCACUUGAUUAGUUUGUUGGUGGGGUAAUGGCCUACCAAGACUGUGAUCAAUAGCUGAUUUGAGAGGAUGAUCAGCCACAUUGGGACUGAGACACGGCCCAAACUCCUACGGGAGGCAGCAGUGGGGAAUCUUGCACAAUGGAGGAAACUCUGAUGCAGCGAUGCCGCGUGAGUGAAGAAGGCCCUUGGGUUGUAAAGCUCUUUCGUCGGGGAAGAAAAUGACUGUACCCGAAUAAGAAGGUCCGGCUAACUUCGUGCCAGCAGCCGCGGUAAUACGAAGGGACCUAGCGUAGUUCGGAAUUACUGGGCCUAAAGAGUUCGUAGGUGGUUGAAAAAGUUAGUGGUGAAAUCCCAGAGCUUAACUCUGGAACUGCCAUUAAAACUUUUCAGCUAGAGUAUGAUAGAGGAAAGCAGAAUUUCUAGUGUAGAGGUGAAAUUCGUAGAUAUUAGAAAGAAUACCAAUUGCGAAGGCAGCUUUCUGGAUCAUUACUGACACUGAGGAACGAAAGCAUGGGUAGCGAAGAGGAUUAGAUACCCUCGUAGUCCAUGCCGUAAACGAUGUGUGUUAGACGUUGGAAAUUUAUUUUCAGUGUCGCAGGGAAACCGAUAAACACACCGCCUGGGGAGUACGACCGCAAGGUUAAAACUCAAAUGAAUUGACGGGGACCCGCACAAGUAGUGGAGCAUGUGGUUUAAUUCGAAGAUACGCGCAGAACCUUACCAACACUUGACAUGUUCGUCGCGACUCUAAGAGAUUAGAGUUUUCGGUUCGGCCGGACGAAACACAGGUGCUGCAUGGCUGUCGUCAGCUCGUGUCGUGAGAUGUUGGGUUAAGUCCCGCAACGAGCGCAACCCUCACUUUUAGUUGCCAUCAUUAAGUUGGGCACUCUGAAAGAACUGCCAGUGAUAAGCUGGAGGAAGGUGGGGAUGACGCCAAGUCCUCAUGGCCCUUACGUGUUGGGCUACACACGUGCUACAAUGGUAUCUACAACAGGAAGCAAGACUGCGAAGUUAAGCAAAUCCCUAAAAGAUACCUCAGUUCGGAUUGCACUCUGCAACUCGAGUGCAUGAAGCUGGAAUUACUAGUAAUCGUGGAUCAGCGUGCCACGGUGAAUGCGUUCCCGGGUCU
rnacentral:rRNA from 1 species